UCCUCGAUUCAACACUCGAUGC
rnacentral:siRNA from 1 species